CACUGGAAUCGGCUAGGCUACUAGAUAUAAUGCUUCCACUCCGUACUCUGUAAUAAGAAGAACCAAGCAUCCACCGUAUAAGAGAAAGACCGUCGACCCCUGAGAUGAAAGAAGGAAACUUAGGUGCUGAACCCAGGCGGGGGCCCCGGAUAGGAGGUCAGUGUGUGAUCAGUUAGAUAGGGGAUCUCUUAACCAGAAUUACGGAAUGAGGACCGGGCCUGUACUCAUGGUAACGAUGGAAGGAAAUAUUUCGAAGACUUCUCAGUAGUGGAAGAAGGUAAUAUCACCUUGGUUAGGAAAAGCGCUUUAGGCUGGGCAAAGCCUUUAUUUUCUUAAUGGGGACCCAAUAAGUUCAGUACAUGUAAAGAUAAAUACAUCACCUCUCUCCUAGGCCUCUUGGGACUCUCCUUUGGCAACCCGUCGCGCCCUCGUCGCGGCGUUAGCAGCCAUUGACGAUGAAGACUAAGCGAGCCGGCCGGAGCAUAUGCUACUUUUUCUAAAUCGUGAACACCUUAUCUUUCUUCUCUGUCUGAUCCGCACACUCCAGACCUCGCCUCGGUUCUUGGCUUUGAUCCAAUUCCGAAGCUCGUUUGCUCACUAGCCGAUGUCAUUUUCAAUUGACUUAGUUAGAAAUGGGGAUACCGUACCACUUUAAAUUAAACAAGCGCCAGGAAAAUGGAGCUUACCGCGCUGAGUUACGUCGUAGGCGAAGCUUUCGAUUCGACAAAUGAAUGGUUGGUGCUUCCCUUCUUUAGCCUAUUUGCCUAUUUGGUAGAUUCAAUUAGGGCUAGCUCAAAGACUGGCUAAUCCCAAUCCGAUGGAUCAACUCUUUCGCGUCGCUUAACGACUUGUAACUCUGGCGAGUACCGAUGCUCCAAAUUGGAUUACCUAGCGCUUGGGUGAGAUGUUCGACAAGAGACUAAGGACUUUUUAGGUGGGAGUUCCAUCCGAGACGGACUGGAAUCACCGGCUCAUACUAGAAGCGGUGAACGGCAAGA